GUGAAGUAUCGUCCCACAGCUCAUCAUCGAUCGGAUCCGAGUCCUCGUCGGGCGACGAUGAUCGAGACGAGGCGGAGAGCAAGAUCAACGAUGGCGCUCUAGGUAGCUUAGAGGCAAUCGAAGAGUCUCUUCCGAUCAAAAGGGGAUUGUCGAAUUUCUUCACGGGCAAAUCAAGAUCAUUUCAGAGCUUGGCAGAGGUGGCGACGGCGAGGGUCGAAGAUGUGGCAAAGCCGGAGAAUCCGUUCAACAAGAGGAGAAGGCUAUUGAUGGCAUGCAAGAACUCAUGGUCCAAGAGAGCAAAAUCUUAUAGCUCUCUCCUACCUCCGCUACCUCCUCUUACGGCGGAGGGAGACGAGGAUGAGGACGAUGA
rnacentral:misc_RNA from 1 species